CCUACGGGAGGCAGUAGUGGGGAAUAUUGGACAAUGGGCGAAAGCCUGAUCCAGCCAUGCCGCGUGUGUGAAGAAGGCCUUCGGGUUGUAAAGCACUUUCAGUGGGGAAGAAAGCCUUGGGGCUAAUACCCUCGAGGAAGGACAUCACCCACAGAAGAAGCACCGGCUAACUCCGUGCCAGCAGCCGCGGUAAUACGGAGGGUGCGAGCGUUAAUCGGAAUUACUGGGCGUAAAGCGCGCGUAGGCGGUCUGAUAAGCCGGUUGUGAAAGCCCCGGGCUCAACCUGGGAACGGCAUCCGGAACUGUCAGGCUAGAGUGCAGGAGAGGAAGGUAGAAUUCCCGGUGUAGCGGUGAAAUGCGUAGAGAUCGGGAGGAAUACCAGUGGCGAAGGCGGCCUUCUGGACUGACACUGACGCUGAGGUGCGAAAGCGUGGGUAGCAAACAGGAUUAGAUACCCCAGUAGUC
rnacentral:rRNA from 1 species